GACGAACGCUGGCGGCGUGCUUAACACAUGCAAGUCGAACGGAAAGGCCCUGCUUUUGUGGGGUGCUCGAUUGGCGAACGGGUGAGUAACACGUGAGUAACCUGCCCUUGACUUUGGGAUAACUUCAGGAAACUGGGGCUAAUACCGGAUAGGAGCUCCUGCUGCAUGGUGGGGGUUGGAAAGUGUCGGCGGUUGGGGCUGGACUCGCGGCUUAUCAGCUUGUUGGUGGGGUAGUGGCUUACCAAGGCUUUGACGGGUAGCCGGCCUGAGAGGGUGACCGGCCACAUUGGGACUGAGAUACGGCCCAGAAUCCUACGGGAGGCAGCAGUGGGGAAUAUUGCACAAUGGGCGGAAGCCUGAUGCAGCAACGCCGCGUGCGGGAUGACGGCCUUCGGGUUGUAAACCGCUUUCGCCUGUGACGAAGCGUGAGUGACGGUAAUGGGUAAAGAAGCACCGGCUAACUACGUG
rnacentral:rRNA from 1 species